CCUACGGGAGGCAGCAGUGGGGAAUAUUGGGCAAUGGGCGCAAGCCUGACCCAGCAACGCCGCGUGAAGGAAGAAGGCUUUCGGGUUGUAAACUUCGUUUAAGAGGGAAGAGCAGAAGAGGGUACAUAGAGAAUAAGCCAGGGCUAACGACGUGACAGCAGCCGCGGAAAUACGGAGGUGGCAAGCGUUGUCCGGAUUUACUGGGGGUAAAGGGCGGGUAGCCGGGCUGACAAGUCAGAUGUGAAAUCCCGUGGCUCAACCCCUGAACUGCAUUUGAAACUGUCGGUCUUGAGUAUCGGAGCGGCAGGCGGAAUUCCUUGUGUAGCGGUGAAAUGCGUAGAUAUUAGGAGGAACACCAGUGGCGAAGGCGGCCUGCUGGACGCCAACUGACGCUGAGGCGCGAAAGCGUGGGUAGCAAACAGGAUUAGAUACCCCUGUAGUC
rnacentral:rRNA from 1 species